CUCUCUCAAAUAAAUAAACGAAACUCUAUUUUUAGAAAAAGAUCCACAAUUGUGUUUUCAGAGAGAGCUGCUUACGUAAGAUUCAGAAUCUCCGCCAGGUAAUUAAUUUACUUCUCAAAGUUAAAGUCUGACACUAAUUGUAAUGUGUUAGAUCAGAAGGACAGUAAAGAUGGAUAUAAGCGUCUUCUGUCCUCUUUCCCUUUACUUUUUCCUUUUUCACAGUUUUCAGGUUGAUUCAUUUUUUUUCUUAAAGCCUCUAGAGGGCAGCACAUGUGUUUUUCUGUUAGAAAGACCAGUUUCUUCACAGAGACCUUAACUUCCUCCAGCAAACUGCAGUGACUUGCACUUACCAGUGAUGCCACAUUGGUUUAGAUGAACCUUCAGAUUUCAGGGGUUUGCGUGAGGACCUUGAUAGCUGAGGGUCCUUCCUUCAGCAGUGCGCUGGGCUGAGUCAUCCCUUCCUUUCUGUCCGCUGAAUAUCUAUGCCUUAGAAACAUCUUUUGGCCUAACCUACAGUGGUAUAUAGGAAUAACUUUACUUAAGACUUUCACACAUUUUUCUUCUAGAAAGUUCAUUUUAAGGUAAAGACAAAAGUCAAAGAACAAAAUUAGUAUUUUGACAUUGGAGUAAAAAUGAACCUUUGUCUGGUCAUGCUGAGGUAGUGACCCGACCCAAAUGAAUUUAAUAUUUUGUUUGCCUUACCUAGUAAUUUUAGAAACCUUUGAAUUGUCAGUGUAAAAAUAUCACUUCCAUGUGAUUUUGAAAAAUCAAAGAUCCAUAAAUAUGGAGCUGCUUUUUGCCAUGGCAACCAUUGACUGCUACUGAAUGAUGACUAAUUCUCAAGAACCAUCUCACAGUUGGGGUGAGCUCCCCAGUGCCCUCAAAUCAUGUGUUACCUAACUGAGUCUUGCUGGCAUUUGACUUUGACUUUAAGACAGUUGUGGUUUGAAUAUAUGUUAAAUAAGAGCUGUCAGAUACAAAGAUCUGGGCACUCAUGUCUCGGUUAUGGUGCUUAUGCUUAGGAACCCAAUAGAGGGUACCAUGUAAGGACCUCCUCCCUUCAGUCCUUGAGUAUUCUCUGUUAG